GUGCCAAAAGUUACAUUUUGUGUCGUCCAAUUAUUUUCAACUUUUAUACUAAAUGUAACCAUGGUACUAUCUGGUAUAUGUUAUAAUAUCCAACUAUUAUACAUUAAUAGAGAAGAAUAGUUAUAGAACAUAGGAAGUGUAGAUUCUGAGGCCAGCCGCCCUCUGGACCCAUAACACAGACUUCAACUUAUUUCAGAAGAUCAACUAUGUGUUGACAAGGUUGCGGUCCAAGGGUACUCAGCGCCCGCAUACUAUUUGUUCAUUGGAGCCCCCUUUCCUAUUUUUUUUAACUGUUUCCACAGUCAUUGAAAUUAUAUGAAAAACUACGUGUAAUGGCGCCCCCCCUCGCCGUUCCGCCUGCAUUUUUCGCAUGCAUUGUAUUCAGACUUAAUUCUUGAUUGUGUGUGGACAAGAUAAUAUGAACAAGAAGCAAGAUUUUGAUUGAGGUAGAUAGAGAUGGUACUUUACAUAGAUCUAGUGAUGAAAUUUACAAUACUUUGG